rnacentral:rRNA from 1 species
UACGUAGGGGGCAAGCGUUGUCCGGAUUUAUUGGGCGUAAAGAGCUCGUAGGUGGUUCGGUAAGUCGGAUGUGAAAUCUCCAGGCUCAACCUGGAGGGGUCAUUCGAUACUGCCGUGACUAGAGGUCGGUAGGGGAGUGUGGAAUUCCUGGUGGAGCGGUGAAAUGCGCAGGAUAUCAGGAGGAACACCCGUAGACGAAGGCGGCUCACUGGACCGGUACUGACGCUGAUGACGCGGAAAGCGUGGGGAGCAAACGGG